UGGGGAAUAUUGCGCAAUGGACGAAAGUCUGACGGAGCAAUGCCGCGUGCAGGAUGAAGCGGUUUCGCCGUGUAAACUGCUGUCAGGGGCAGGAAAAACUGAUCCGCCCCAAAGGAAGAGACGGCUAACCCUGUGCCAGCAGCCGCGGUAAUACAGGGGUCUCGAGCGUUAAUCGGAAUCACUGGGCUUAAAGGGUGCGUAGGCGGAUCCGUAAGCGCUUUGUGAAAUCCCCCGGCUCAACCGGAGAACUGCAGGGCGAACUGCGGAUCUUGAGGAAACUAGAGGCCGGUAGAACGAUUGGUGUAGCGGUGGAAUGCGUAGAUAUCAGGAAGAACACCUGUGGCGAAGGCGGCUAGCUGGGCCAGUUCUGACGCUCAUCCGCGAAAGCGUGGGGAGCAAACAGGAUUAGAUACCCCCGUAGUCCCUGAGCGGGCUGGCAAGGCGCAU
rnacentral:rRNA from 1 species